GUAUUGUAUUGCGUUAAACGCGGCAUACAUUCCAUAAGACUUUAUUACAGUGUGUGUGUAAAUACAUAGGACCACAGCAGGGGGGGACAGAGCCCCCAGGGCUGCAGAACUAUGGAGGGUGCACAGGUGUGAGUGGAUAUGCAAACAGAGCGUGCACAUGCCCCCAUUUGAGGACCAGCAACAACUCGUGUCGACAGUUCGGUAAUGAUCCUUCCGCAGGUUCACCUACGGAAA
rnacentral:misc_RNA from 1 species